CACCCGCGCCAUAAGUGGCAGCCACAUUUAUUGGGUCUAAAGCGUUCGUAGCCGGCUUAGUAAAUCUUCUGUGAAAUUGUUAGGCUUAACCUAACAGUGUGCAGGGGACACUGCUAAGCUUGGAACCGGGAGGAGCUAGAGGUAUUCUUGGGGGAGCGGUAAAAUGUUAUAAUCCCAAGAGGACAACCUGUGGCGAAGGCGUCUAGCUAGAACGGCUUCGACGGUGAGGAACGAAAGCUGGGGGAGCAAUCCGG
rnacentral:rRNA from 1 species